rnacentral:snRNA from 1 species
GUGCUUGCUUUGGCAGCACAUAUACUAAAAUCGGAGUGAUGCAGAGAUUAGCAUGGCCUCUGCACAAGGGCGACAUGAAAAUUUGUGAAGCGUUCCAUGUUUUU